AAUGAAUGGGCCCUUCAGAUACCCAGAUCUUGGCGCCUGUCCCCUGUACUAUCUGAAGGCAGAUUGAUUGAUUUUCAGACUUAUGUGAAGGGAAGAAAAAGGAAGAAAUUUCAGCAGCAGGGUACUUCUGCUGGUGCAGGAGGCAGACAGUGAGCAGCCUGGUUUGUUUCCAGACUGCACUCUGGAUCUGCAGGCCUGGCUGCUAUGAACAAUGUGUGUGUGUUAUGAAGAACGUCCAGGAAGGACGCACCGUCCCCAGUGCCUUUGUGAGACCUGAAGCUCCUGUCGCAUGGCCUGGUGCCCAGGCAGGGGCUCCUCCACCUGUGCUGAUGUUCCUCCUGCUCCCCUCCCAGGGGAAGCUUCACAGGGCUUUGCUUGUUACUGGGCAGAGUACUUUCCCCAUGGGUGCCCAUUGGGUUUGAACAGCUAUUUAAGAUGCCAUUGAAAUAUCUGUUGUAAGGAGAUGUUUAAUUCAAAAUGGCAUGGACAAAAUAAGCUCCUGGCUGCU